GGAGGUGAGGGCAAUCUGGCUGCAGGAUCUAUCAUGCCAUUGAUUGCCAGGGUUGACCCGGCUGAUCUGGCUUGUGAGGUGUGUGUUUUCUUCCUCCCCGAUCCGUAUGUAUCCCUUCCAAGGCUGUGCAUUUGGUUGGAUGAGGACCUAGGACCAGUCUUCUGUCUGUCAAGGGUCCAGGAGUAGCCGUGAUCCCCCCACAGAACCUCCCAAAUCUCUCAAGGACCCUGUCUGCAGUGGCUUUCAGAGUUAAACUUCAACAUUUGCAUUGGGAGUGACAAGGUUUAGUCCAUAACAGGGGCUGACUAUAGAAAUCCUGCGUUU
rnacentral:snRNA from 1 species